GAUGAAUUAGAUAUAUUUAUUUGUUAACAUUUUGAGCUCUUGAAAUUUAUUUGCUAAUUUGCCCUUGGUAUGAUGAAUUCUUUAUUUCGUAAAAUUCAGUGAUGCAUUUUGAAAUACAAAGUCAUAUGUACAGUGUAUGCAUGCUGUCAAUGUAGAGAGCAUCAGCCAAGGAGGAGAUAUAAAGUAGCCCACUUUUAACUUAGAAAAUGGAAGUUACCUUUUGCUACUUUCAAACCUUUUGGGAAAAAAAAAAUGUAACGUUCUCCCUAGUUCCCUUUUAAAAAAAAAAAAAAGCUAAUGAAUAAAUUGUUCUUCUUUGGUCAGAUUAGCAAUUCAGGACUGUGAAUAAAAAACAAACUAAGCUAAAACCAAAGAGAGAAGCUGUUUACUUUUAUGUACUACUGAGAACAGUGUGGUCUUGUGGCAGUUCUCGUAGACUGUGUUGGUUUAACAAGCGUCCAACCCUUUUGUCUUGUUGUUUUUUGUCUUUCCUGCUCCCUGUCCCCUUGUUUCCCACAGGCUGUGCGUUUGUCACAUUUUCUACAAGGGCAAUGGCACAGAAUGCAAUCAAAGCCAUGCAUCAGUCUCAGACCAUGGAGGUACUGUAUCAUCUGCCCUUUCUUUGUUUUCUUUGUGCAAAUGAUGGGGAAUGGUAAAGCAGUUCUCUCCUGUGUGGAUUGUUCACAUGACAAUCACAGACCUAAGCUCUCACCGGUCCGCUUUUCAUUCACUCAUAUUCAUCCCCCUCUCUUUCUCUCUCUGUUUCCCUCCUCACUUCGUUCCCUCUUCUCUCUUUCCACUUGCAUUUCCCCCUCAUGACUGGAAAUGUACUUUAGUGAGACCUUCCACCUGCCCUACAGCUGUCUUUUGAGCCUUUAUUGGAGUAACACAGGUUCUGAGAUAUGAGGCACUCAAUGCAAAAUGUCAUUGUGGACCUAGAGGACUGAAUAUAUACCCCACAACAGGGCUGGUAUGGACUAUACUAACAACAUCCACCUCAGGUCCCUACUGGAACAAUUCACCUAUUACAGAUCUUAAUAUACUCAAACAGACUCUUUUCAUCUCAAGAAUUUUGAAGAAAGUUAAUAAUUCUCCUAUUUAUCAGUGAAAUGUUAAUUUUCAGUCUCCUGAAUAAUCAGAUUGGUCCCCUUACUCAAAGGUGAACAAAGAAAUGUCCAUGCUUCAAUCCAACCUCCUAAAAGGUUGUGACUGAAGGAACAGGAGACUCAGCAAUGUGAAAUAUGCCACAGGUGGAGAUGCACGCUCUCUGUGCUCGCUCUGUGAUUCAGAAUUCUGCACAAGAACAUUCCAAAAGUGACAUGCCAUCACUAACUCUGUCUUGUCUGAUAGGAUCAUUUGAGAGUGCAUGUGCUGCCGUGUUACGUAUACUGUGUCUGUGUAUGGGUGACUUUCUCCAGAGGUGGUGGCCUUAUGCUGUUAUAUGAAGCUGUGUUUUCCUAUUUGAACAAUUUUUUUUGCAAUUUUAUUUAAUGUGCAAAAAAAUAGUAAUUGUUUGAGCUUCUUUUUUUGAAAUUCCCCUUUGAUUGGGAUUUUAUUUUUUGGUUUGUUUGAUUGUUUGUUUGUUUGUUUGUUUUUUGCAAUGCUGCAUCUUCCAAAGCAUGCUGGGAGCUAAGUGAUCAUUAUGCGUCAUGUUCUAUGGGAAACUUCUUUAUAUUAAUUCAGAAGGAGGGUGGAAGGGUUGGGAGGGGUGUGCAUGGCAUUGUCAUUAAGUGUUUACUGUACUUUUUUGAGUUGUGACAUCAGCAUUGCAAAGCCUAUUGUCUUUUUUGAACAUUCAUUUGCCUUUGAUAUUCCUAAUAUAUAUAAUUAAUGUGUUUUCCUUGCAGUGCAAUGCAUUUUUAGGACAAUCCCACCCCCCUACCUGAAGGCAAGCUCAGGUGAAAAUUGAACAUGGUAGAAAAUAAUAAGCAGGAUUCCAAUUUUGUCUACCUUGCCGUCACAUUCUCCAUGUUCUGGCUUACUUUUACUUGUAGGCUGCUCCAGAUGUGUGGAUUUCCAGCUGUUUUUCAGCUCAGUCAUUAAAAUGAAAGUGCUGUUU
rnacentral:lncRNA from 1 species